UACGGAGGGGGCAAGCGUUGUUCGGAAUUACUGGGCGUAAAGGGCUCGUAGGCGGCCAACUAAGUCAUACGUGAAAUCCCUCGGCUUAACCGGGGAACUGCGUCUGAUACUGGAUGGCUUGAGUUCGGGAGAGGGAUGCGGAAUUCCAGGUGUAGCGGUGAAAUGCGUAGAUAUCUGGAGGAACACCGGUGGCGAAGGCGGCAUCCUGGACCGAUACUGACGCUGAGGAGCGAAAGCCAGGGGAGCAAACAGG
rnacentral:rRNA from 1 species